rnacentral:rRNA from 1 species
GACGAACGCUGGCGGCGUGCUUAACACAUGCAAGUCGAACGGAAAGGCCCUGCUUUUGUGGGGUGCUCGAGUGGCGAACGGGUGAGUAACACGUGAGUAACCUGCCCUUGACUUUGGGAUAACUUCAGGAAACUGGGGCUAAUACCGGAUAGGAGCUCCUGCUGCAUGGUGGGGGUUGGAAAGUUUCGGCGGUUGGGGAUGGACUCGCGGCUUAUCAGCUUGUUGGUGGGGUAGUGGCUUACCAAGGCUUUGACGGGUAGCCGGCCUGAGAGGGUGACCGGCGACAUUGGGACUGAGAGACGGAGCAGACGGCAACGGGAGGCAGUGGUGGGGAAUAUUGCACAAUGGGCGGAAGCCUGAUGCAGCAACGCCGCGUGCGGGAUGACGGCCUUUGGGUUGUAAACCGCUUUCGCCUGUGACGAAGCGUGAGUGACGGUAAUGGGUAAAGAAGCACCGGCUAACUACGUG